rnacentral:rRNA from 1 species
CAGCAGCAGCCGCGGUAAUACGGAGGGAGCUAGCGUUGUUCGGAAUUACUGGGCGUAAAGCGCGCGUAGGCGGUUACUCAAGUCAGAGGUGAAAGCCCGGGGCUCAACCCCGGAACUGCCUUUGAAACUAGGUGACUAGAAUCUUGGAGGGGUCAGUGGAAUUCCGAGUGUAGAGGUGAAAUUCGUAGAUAUUCGGAAGAACACCAGUGGCGAAGGCGACUGACUGGACAAGUAUUGACGCUGAGGUGCGAAAGCGUGGGGAGCAAACAGGAUUAGAUACCCCAGUAGUCCCUGUCUCUUAUAC